AAGAUGACUGACAGCGGAGAAUACACCUGUGUUUUUCCUCGUCUGCAGCCACGACAGACUUUCCACAUUAAGCUGGUUGUUGAUCCAGUCUUAAAACACAGACCAGGUGAAAACAUCACAGGUGAGUCCUGAUUUAUUUAUUAUUUUAAUGGCGUAACUCUGUGAUCAGGUGUGUGAUCACAGGCCUGAUAUCAUUCAGAUCACCUGAAAUCUUAAAACAUCGCUGUGUUGAACUAAUUGUGACGAUUUUAUACGUUUACCAUCGCACUAUUUACACGCAAAGUUUGACUAAAUGUUAAUGGUUUUAAAAGUAUAUUUUUUAAAAUCCCUUUUAAAUGUAUAGAGAUGCUAUUCAUUGAAAAUUAAAU